ACUCCUACGGGAGGCAGCAGUGGGGAAUAUUGCACAAUGGGGGAAACCCUGAUGCAGCCAUGCCGCGUGUGUGAAGAAGGCCUUCGGGUUGUAAAGUACUUUCAGCAGUGAGGAAGGUGGGUGUGUUAAUAGCAUACUCAUUUGACGUUAGCAACAGAAGAAGCACCGGCUAACUCCGUGCCAGCAGCCGCGGUAAUACGGAGGGUGCGAGCGUUAAUCGGAAUUACUGGGCGUAAAGCGCAUGCAGGUGGUUUGUUAAGUCAGAUGUGAAAGCCCGGGGCUCAACCUCGGAACUGCAUUUGAAACUGGCAGACUAGAGUACUGUAGAGGGGGUAGAAUUUCAGGUGUAGCGGUGAAAUGCGUAGAGAUCUGAAGGAAUACCGGUGGCGAAGGCGGCCCCCUGGACAGAUACUGACACUCAGAUGCGAAAGCGUGGGGAGCAAACAGGAUUAGAUACCCUGGUAGGAUAG
rnacentral:rRNA from 1 species